rnacentral:rRNA from 1 species
CCUACGGGUGACAGCAGUGAGGAAUAGUGGUCAAUGGGCGGAAGCCUGAACCAGCCAAGUAGCGUGCAGGAUGACGGCCCUACGGGUUGUAAACUGCUUUUAUACGGGAAUAACGCGCCUUACGUAUAGGGCUUUGCAUGUACCGGAUGCAUAAGGAACGGCUAAUUCCGUGCCAGCAGCCGAGGUAAUACGGAAGGACCGGGCGUGAGUCGGGUUUAGUGGGUUUAAAGGGAGCGUAGGCCGCAUGUCAAACGUGCUGUGAAAUUUCCGUGCUCAACCCUGGGCUUGCAGCGAGAACUGGCGUGCUUGAGUCCGCGGAAAGCAGGCGGAAUUCGUCGUGUAGCGGUGAAAUGCUUAGAUAUGACGAAGAACCCCGAUUGCGAAGGCAGCUUGCUGCAGCGGAACUGACGCUGAUGCUCGAAAGCGCGGGUAUCGAACAGGAUUAGAUACCCCUGUAGUC